CCAAAGUCUCUUGCAUGUAAAUACAAGAGAAAUUAACGGAGGAAUUUUGAGCGGCUUGUUAUUGGAAAUAUUUUUUUUUUUUUUUUUUGAUAUUCCAGGUGUCCGGUGCCCCACCUUUGUAGCCCCUCUGCUCCCCCGCUGGAGAGUGGGCAGGACCCGACUAGAAAUCCUGGAGCCCGGGCCAGCCUUUUAACAUUAAUUGUGCGCCCAUGGCCUGCGGGGGCUCGAACCAGCGCUCACAAGGACUUUGUCCUGAACUUUUACCAGUGAGCUAUACCCGCAGGUUUUGUUAUUGGAAAUUACUUAACAACAAAAUAUAGUUGUUAUCAUUAUCCG
rnacentral:lncRNA from 1 species